AACAACUCUCAGCAACGGAUAUCUUGGCUCUUGCAACGAUGAAGAACGCAACAA
rnacentral:rRNA from 1 species